rnacentral:rRNA from 1 species
CAAUCGAACUAGGAGAUAGCUCGUUCUCUCCGAAAUGCAUUUAGGUGCAGCCUUGGUUGAAGAUAUGCGGGGGUAGAGCACUGUAUGGCCUAGGGGGCGUAUAGCUUACCGAAGUCAAGCAAACUGCGAAUACCGUAUAUUGUUUACCAGGAGUGAGUCUACGGAUGACAAGGUCCGUGGACGAGAGGGGAACAGCCCGGACCGCCGGCUAAGGUCCCAAAUCAUGUCUAAGUGGGAAAGGAGGUGGAUAUUCACAGACAACCAGGAGGUUGGCUUAGAAGCAGCCAUACCUUGAAAGAGUGCGUAAUAGCUCACUGGUCGAGAGUAUCUGCGCCGAAGAUAUAACGGGGCUAAGACAUGAACCGAAGCCGCGGAAGCGUGAUAACACGUUUGGUAGGAGAGCGUUCUGUAGGCCGUAGAAGGUGUCCUGUAAGGGAUGCUGGAGGUAUCAGAAGUGAGAAUGCAGGAAUGAGUAGCGAGAAGGAGGGCGAGAAUCCCUCCGGCCGGAAGUCCAAGGUUUCCAGGGGAAGGUUUGUCCGCCCUGGGGGAGUCGGGACCUAAGCAUAAGCAGAGCUGCGAAGGCGAAUGGAAAACAGGUUAAUAUUCCUGUACCGCUGUGUACUGACUGAGAGAUGGAGUGACGCAGGAAGGUAUGCGGGAAGGCUGACGGAAUAGCCUUUCUAAGGGUGAAGCGUGGACAUAUAGGCAAAUCCGUAUGUUUAAACGUGAGGCCUGACGGGUAAGUGCCAUAUGGCAUAAGCCGCAGAUCCUACACUGCCGGGAAAAACUUCUAUUUAGGGAAGCAGCGCCCGUACUGUAAACCGACACAGGUGGACAGAGUGAGAAACUUAAGGCCGACAGGACAACUCUGGCUAAGGAACUCUGCAAAAUGGCCCCGUAACUUAGGGAGAAGGGGUGCCCGUGCUACCUGAAGGGGGAGACACCCGGAGGGGAAGCGGGCCGCAGUGAAGAGUCCCAAGCAACUGUUUACCAAAAACACAGGUCUAUGCUAAGCCGGAAGGCGACGUAUAUGGGCUGACACCUGCCCAGUGCCGGAAGGUUAAGAGGAGGAUUGAGAGAUUCGAAUUGAAGCCCCGGUGAACGGCGGCCGUAACUAUAACGGUCCUAAGGUAGCGAAAUUCCUUGUCGGGUAAGUUCCGACCUGCACGAAUGGUGAAAUGAUUUGGGAGCUGUCUUGGCCGGAGACCUGGUGAAGUUGUAAUGCCGGUGAAGAUACCGGUUACCUGCAGUAGGACGGAAAGACCCCGUGGAGCUUUACUGUAGCCUGGCAUUGGGUUUCGGCAAUGUGUGUAUAGGAUAGCUGGGAGGCUAAGAAGAUAUGGCGUCAGCUGUAUUGGAGCCGCUGUUGGAAUACCAGCCACGCAUUGUUGGGAUUCUAAUCUCAUAAGAUGGGAGACAGUGCUAGGUGGGCAGUUUGACUGGGGCGGUCGCCUCCAAAAGAGUAACGGAGGCGUUCAAAGGUUCCCUCAGGCUGGAUGGAAAUCAGCCGGAGAGUGCAAACGCAUAAGGGAGCUUGACUGCGAGACUGACGGGUCGAGCAGGCACGAAAGUGGGAGUUAGUGAUCCGGCGGUUCUGAAUGGAAAGGCCGUCGCUCAACGGAUAAAAGCUACCCCGGGGAUAACAGGCUGAUACUUCCCAAGAGUCCAUAUCGACGGAAGUGUUUGGCACCUCGAUGUCGGCUCGUCUCAUCCUGGGGCUGGAGAAGGUCCCAAGGGUUGGGCUGUUCGCCCAUUAAAGAGGCACGCGAGCUGGGUUCAGAACGUCGUGAGACAGUUCGGUCCCUAUCCACUGCAGGCGUCAGAAUAUUGAAGGGAUCUGUCCUUAGUACGAGAGGACCGGGAUGGACGGACCAAUGAUGUACCGGUUGUCACGCCAGUGGCACGGCCGGGUAGUCACGUCCGGAAGGGAUAACCGCUGAAAGCAUCUAAGCGGGAAGCCCACCCUGAGAUGAAUGUUCUUUCAAGCAUCCGCCGAGAACAGGCGGUGAUAGGCCGGGGGUGCAAGCAUGGUGACAUGUUCAGCUGACCGGUACUAAUAAUGCGUAGGCUUACUUCAA